rnacentral:rRNA from 1 species
AUUGAACGCUGGCGGCAUGCUUUACACAUGCAAGUCGAACGGCAGCACGGACUUCGGUCUGGUGGCGAGUGGCGAACGGGUGAGUAAUACAUCGGAACGUACCCAGUAAUGGGGGAUAACUAUCCGAAAGGAUAGCUAAUACCGCAUACGCCCUACGGGGGAAGGAGGGGGAUCGCAAGACCUCUUGUUAUUGGAGCGGCCGAUGGCUGAUUAGCUAGUUGGUGGGGUAAAGGCCUACCAAGGCAACGAUCAGUAGCGGGUCUUAGAGGACGAUCCGCCACACUGGAACUGAGACACGGUCCAGACUCCUACGGGAGGCAGCAGUGGGGAAUCUUGGACAAUGGGCGCAAGCCUGAUCCAGCAAUGCCGCAUGCGUGAAGAAGGCCUUCGGGUUGUAAAGCGCUUUUGUCAGGGAGCAAAUCCUUGUGGCUAAUACCCACCGGGGAUGAGAGUACCUGAAGAAUAAGGACCGGCUAACUACGUGCCAGCCGCCGCGGUAACAC